UGACCAGCAUUUAAACAGUUUACUAGUGGUUGCAGUGCUGCAAGUUUAAAUUCUAAUCCCUUCUGUUUCUCUUAAACAGGAAUGUGGGGAAGGAGACAUGGAGAAGUGGAUUGCUUUGGCCCCUAGAGGAAUACAGCCCCACAGACUGAGCCUUGAUGUAUAAGCUGAUGGCAGCAAAAGCACCAGCUUCUGAAUAAAAAGGGCUGAAGAAAAGAGAAAGGAAGAAAAUACUGCUGAAAAUCAGGUUAAAGCUCUUAGUGAACAAAAAAAUUCCCCACUUCAUGCACAGAACAGCAGCAGCAAUCUGUUCAAUCUACUUGUUGGCACUGAGCCUAAAGAACAAGACCUGCAUCUCCUGGAAAGAAACGGGGGGAUAUCCAUGCAUUCAAGCUGCGGAAUGUCUUCAUUGGGUAUAUGUUACUGUGUAGAAAAUAUUCCUUCCUGGAGUGACACCAGAUUGUGGGAUAAUUUAAUAAGAGGUUUCUGCCAAGAAAAGAAACUCAAGACUGAAGCACUUGGGGUCGAAGAUUCACCCAGAAGAUGUUUUUGAAGAUGGCCUUAACUGCAUCUUUAAUAAAUCCUCAAAUAAUUUGCUUUGUGCA
rnacentral:lncRNA from 1 species